GAUGAACGCUGGCGGCGUGCCUAAUACAUGCAAGUCGAACGAAGAUGUCUUCGGACAUCUUAGUGGCGAACGGGUGAGUAAUACGUAAGCAACCUGCCCACAAGGACCGGGAUAACUGCUGGAAACGGUAGCUAAGACCGGAUAGGUAUACUGAAGGCAUCUUUGGUAUAUUAAAGGUUAGAAACACAAGUGGAUGGGCUUACGGCGCAUUAGCUAGUUGGUGAGGUAAUGGCCCACCAAGGCGAUGAUGCGUAGCCGGCCUGAGAGGGUGAACGGCCACAUUGGGACUGAGACACGGCCCAGACUCCUACGGGAGGCAGCAGUGAGGGGUAUUGCACAAUGGGCGCAAGCCUGAUGCAGCGACGCCGCGUGAGGGAAGACGGUCCUCUGGAUUGUAAACCUCUGUCUUAUGGGACGAAAAAGGGCGGUACCAUAGGAGGAAGCUCCGGCUAACCUACGUG
rnacentral:rRNA from 1 species